UACGUAGGGUGCAAGCGUUGUCCGGAAUUAUUGGGCGUAAAGAGCUUGUAGGCGGUUUGUCGCGUCUGCUGUGAAAUUUCGGGGCUCAACCCCGAACUUGCAGUGGGUACGGGCAGACUAGAGUGUGGUAGGGGAGACUGGAAUUCCUGGUGUAGCGGUGAAAUGCGCAGAUAUCAGGAGGAACACCGAUGGCGAAGGCAAGUCUCUGGGCCACUACUGACGCUGAGAAGCGAAAGCAUGGGGAGCGAACAGG
rnacentral:rRNA from 1 species